rnacentral:rRNA from 1 species
UACAGAGGCCUCAAGCGUUGGUCGGAUUCAUUGGGCGUAAAGGGUGCGUAGGUGGCGCUGUAAGUCGGGUGUGAAAUUUCGGAGCUUAACUCCGAAACUGCAUUCGAUACUGCGGUGCUUGAGGACUGGAGAGGAGACUGGAAUUCAUGGUGUAGCAGUGAAAUGCGUAGAGAUCAUGAGGAAGACCAGUGGCGAAGGCGGGUCUCUGGACAGUUCCUGACACUGAGGCACGAAGGCCAGGGGAGCAAACGGG